rnacentral:rRNA from 1 species
GAACUGAAGAGUUUGAUCAUGGCUCAGAUUGAACGCUGGCGGCAGGCCUAACACAUGCAAGUCGAGCGGAUGAAGGGRGCUUGCUCCUGGAUUCAGCGGCGGRCGGGUGAGUAAUGCCUAGGAAUCUGCCUGGUAGUGGGGGAUAACGUCCGGAAACGGGCGCUAAUACCGCAUACGUCCUGAGGGAGAAAGUGGGGGAUCUUCGGACCUCACGCUAUCAGAUGAGCCUAGGUCGGAUUAGCUAGUUGGUGGGGUAAAGGCCUACCAAGGCGACGAUCCGUAACUGGUCUGAGAGGAUGAUCAGUCACACUGGAACUGAGACACGGUCCAGACUCCUACGGGAGGCAGCAGUGGGGAAUAUUGGACAAUGGGC